rnacentral:rRNA from 1 species
AACGAACGCUGGCGGCAUGCCUAACACAUGCAAGUCGAACGAACCCUUCGGGGUUAGUGGCGCACGGGUGCGUAACACGUGGAAUCUGCCCUUUGCUUCGGAAUAACAGUUAGAAAUGACUGCUAAUACCGGAUGAUGUCGUAAGACCAAAGAUUUAUCGGCAAAGGAUGAGCCCGCGUAGGAUUAGGUAGUUGGUGGGGGUAAAGGCCUACCAAGCCGACGAUCCUUAGCUGGUCUGAGAGGAUGAUCAGCCACACUGGGACUGAGACACGGCCCAGACUCCUACGGGAGGCAGCAGUGGGGAAUAUUGGACAAUGGGCGAAAGCCUGAUCCAGCAAUGCCGCGUGAGUGAUGAAGGCC